rnacentral:lncRNA from 1 species
CUUGGAAACAGAAUUUGACGUUAGCUACAAGGAGCUCUCAACAGAAAUAAUAGCAUCAACGUUAUCGAAAGGAGGUUAUAGGUGAAGUUCCACAUGAGAAUUAAUGUAUAACACCUUUUCCAGUUGCAUAAUACUAACUAAAUUUGUAAAAAAAAAUGUUUAAGUAUUGUUAGAUGCAUGUUAUCUUAGUUGUCUUCUGGGAUUUAUCUCAUAAAGCAUCAAAUUUACCCUCUCUAUUUAAUGCAAAUAAUUGGUCCAUCAUAGGAAUCCAUCGGUUAAAUUUUACAAAAACAAAGAAAAAAAACUAAUGAUGGCAUGAUAGAAGAUGCAAGUCAUAUUAACUGUUGUAUGAGAAUACUUGCCAUCACAAUAGAAAGAAACCAUUUCUCAGUGGUCUAGAAGGUGUAUUCAUCACUGGAGGAUCUAAAAAUGAGCACCUCAUGCAUAGCAAAGGGUUGCUUUGGCAUGUGAUUACAAAUCAAGGCCAUUAAAAUCUUCUAGCAUCCCCCC